rnacentral:tRNA from 1 species
GGGCGCGUGGCGGAAUGGCAGACGCGCACGGCUCAGGACCGUGUGAGGAAACUCGUGGAGGUUCGACUCCUCUCGCGCCCA